AAACCAGAAAGAAAGAAAGAGAGAGCGGGAGAGAGAAAGAAAGAAAGAAAGAAAAAGAUCUUCCGGCAAAUUCUGGCAGCAAAAAUGGUAUCAAUCUCUUCCUUACCUCUUGGGUUUUCUUUUAGGGAGAGGAUCUCUCCUAAGCUAGGCUCUCUCCUAACCUACCUAACCUUUAAAGGAGAUGGCGACACGUGGUUAUUGCUAGAUCCAAUGGUCUACUACGAGCUUAAGCUUUUCUUUUUCUAUGUUUUUCUGUCUCUUAGCUGUCCUUCUAUUCCUUCCCUGCUCUCUCCCUUUCUUCUGUUCUUCAUACGACUAAAGAAGGGGAAGACCAUGGGAUUAUGCUCUUCUUUUUUAGGGGAUAGGAACUGGGCAUGUGAAAGAAGAGGAAAACCAAGGGAUUAUGCUCUUCUUUUUCAGGGGAUAUGGACUUGCGGUUGAUAGUAUAUAAAUUAAACCUGACCAUCAUCAAAUCAAGAUUUCCAUAAAUUGAAUCAAUUGACUAAUUAGCACAAUCAAUUACCAUUGCAUUUUCUCUAAAAACCUCAUCUAAAUUCAAUCUGGUCAUUUGUAAAUGCUUAUUUUCAUAUUAGAUAUCAAACUCAUCUUGCUUUCUCCAUCGAUCCUCUCCAGUCUUUGUACCCAUCCUGAACUCAAUCUCUGAUUUUUUUUUGUUUUGUUUGUUUUUGUUUUGGAGUUUUGAUUAAAUGCUCAAAUUAUUUUUGAAGUGCAUCCAUGGAAGCUAAAAGAACUAGUCCAUGAAUAUCAAUUAUUUGAACGGAAAUGCAAGAGGAUAGAAAGGGGAAAGAGGUAAAGAGAAGAUGAGAAGAGAUUUCAAAGAUCAGAUGAGAGAGAAGGUGUUGAGUUUGUCACUUUCUCUCGAAAAAGUUGAAGUAGGGGUAAGAUUGGAAAGAAGAAACUAUUGAAGUAUCUGCAAGCCAUUGGAUCUAGUCAUAACCACGUGUUGCCAUCUCCUUUGAAGCUUAGGUAGGUUAGGAGAGAGCUUAGCUUAGGAGAGGAUCCUCUCCAUUUCUUUUAAGUAUAGUAUUGCAUAGACUUAUUGGAGGAUUUUUGAGAUUGAAAUCCGGCCACUAUUUACAAAUUGGAGUUUACUGUUUUCUUAAUUGUUGAGGUAGUUUUAGUUGUUUUCUGAACUUGGUGUGGUUGAGAAAAAUUCUAGAGGGGUUGAGAUGAAGUUGCUGUCAAAAUUUGGUGACCAUCAGAGAAGUUGACCGCGCUUGAACAGUGCGGUGCGUGAACAGUGGUGAUUGACAUCCAUUUGGCGGACGAUUGUCAAUCGUAUCUUGAGUUGUUAAGAAGACGCAGAGGGAAUUUAGAGAGUGGAGAACGUAGGGUUUUGAGGACAGAUGUCCGAAGUUCGACUGUUAAGUAUAACCGGAGUGUUUGUGUUCUGAGGACGGGGAUGUCCGAAAUUCGACGGUUUAUUAUUAACUGGAGUAUAUUGUUCUGAGGAGGGGGGUGUCCGAAGUUCGACGGUUAUUAUUAACCGGAGUAUAUUGUUCUGAGGGCUGGGAGCCCAAAGUUCGAGGGUUAUUAAGUUAACAUGGGAAUAUGUCGUUUUAUUUGCAUCUAGGCCAAGGUGACUGUAGCGAUGUGGUUAGAGCUCUAACGUGUGGUCAAGAUGGACCAAAGUGGUGUUAUGUGGGGUUGAGUGUUUGUAUGACCAAAGUGGUGUAUUGUGAUUUGAGGAUUGUGUAAAUAUAUUCCUUGCGGAUUUCCGUGAGUUGUUUGAUGUCUCUUUGCAGACGUAAGAUUGUUGAUUUUUACAUUGUUGUGAGAAUUGUAAUUUAAUAAAUCAACAGUUAUUUCUUGUUUACUCACACGAGCUGUCAAAAGCUUACCGGGUUUGGUGUUGUUGCAAUCCCGGUACACUAUUCAAAUUGUGUAGCAGGAAAUCCUGCAGGUCAGGAGAAUCAGGGCGGUGAUUGUGCGGGUUAGAGUAUUUAUUUUGGUCUUACAGCUUUUGUAAUGUGUGAGGUGAGUUACGCUCAAUUAGAGAUUUACCAAUUUACUUUGUACGAGUGAGUUGUAAUAAUUAACUCGAGGUUUUCGAGAUUUGGAAUUUUGAGUGGCGUGUGGUGUGGUUGUUUAUGAAAAAAUUUCUUAACGUUUAUUUGAUUAAGUUGUUUAUUUCCUGUUUCGGAUUUGAAUUUGUCAUUCAAAAUCCUGGGCGUGACAAUUGGCAACUUCAAUCUUUCUAUUAUCUUCACCACUUGCGAACGGCUUCAGAUAAGUUUUCAUUUACUCUUUUUCAACUAAAGCUAAUAUCCUACUUUACAUGCUUCAUUGAUUACUGCAAUCUAAGCAUGCCUACAAAAUGUGAUAAUUUUAAUAGCAUACUUACUAUGCCUUACUGUUAAUGCUAUGCUUUAAAUGUCUUCAUGAUAAUUAAGCUAGUGUAUAAAAUGCAAAGUAUUAUUAGCAUCUCCACUAUGAAUACAGGCAAAACAUAAGCCAUGCUUUUAUCUUGAUUACAUUGCCACAUAUAUACAUGCGAUACUCAUUCCACAAAUUGACAUGCACAGAUAUUUGUUAUCAUUAUGAGUUUAGACUUGCUCCAACACAAUCCAACUACAUGUUCUAGUAGAUCUAAUGGUUCAAACAAUGUCAUUUACACAAAAUUGCCAAUUGAGCUAUACUCAAUACUCUUAUUUAAAUACUUUAGUCUUAUAUCCACAUGCUGCUACUUACUUGUUGAGCACCUCUGUUGCUUAUAUACACAUGGACUCUCACUAGCGAGAUCAGUCCUCGCUCCUAUCAUGACAAAUGUUCUCGAUACUGGGGGGACUUGUACACCUUACAUGCCUGAAUGACCCAUACUCGCUAUGCCUGGAUGACAUACAUUCGCCAUACUUAAAUGGCAUACACUCGCCAUAUCCGAAUGACAUAUACUCGCCAUGCCUACAUGGUAUACACUCGCCAUGGUAAAUGUUCUCGAUACUGGGGGACUUGUACACCGUACUCUCCAUGCCUGAAUGACAUAUACACGCCAUGCCUGAAUGAUAUACACUCGCCAUGGUAGCUGUUCCCAAUACUGGGGGACUUGCACACCCUACCUGCCAUGCGUGGAUGACAUAUCCCCUCCAUGCUUCAGCGACAUAUCGCCAUGCUAUACUAGCCAUGUUUUAGCGAUAUCUCACUUCUGCUUCAACAGUAUCUCAUCUAUGCCUCAAUGAUAUCUUAUUUAUGCUUCAGCAACAUCUUAUCUGUGCCUCAGUGGUCUACCAUCUAUGUUUUAGCGAUAUCUUAUGAUAUCUUAUUUAUGCUUCAGCAACAUCUUAUCUGUGCCUCAGUGGUCUACCAUCUAUGUUUCUAUGAUAUCUUAUCUAUGCGUCAGCAUUAUAUUAUCCAGGCCUUAGCGAUAUCUUAUCUACGCUUCAGUAGUAUCUUAUUUAUGUUUUAGCAGUAUCUCACCUAUGCUUCAGCGUGGCCUAUACUCGCUGCACUUCAGCAGUAUAUUCUCUACACAUUAGCGAUAUCUUCAUUGUGUUUUAGUAGUAUCUCGCCUCUGCUUCAGCGGUAUUUUAUCUAGGCCUCAACGAGCUUCAACGGUAUCUUAUCUAUGCCUCAAUGUUAUAUUCUCCACGCUUCAGCGAUGUAUUGGCCAUGCUUUAGCAAUACACUCGCUUAAUGCAUACUCGCUAUGCCCCAACGGCUCCUUUCGCCAUGUUUCAGCGAUGUACUCGUCAUACCUCAAUGACACACAAUCGCCAUGCUUCAACUUGAUAUAUCCUCCUAUAUGAUAAAUGUUACACUCGCCAUGUUUCAACGAUACACUCACAAUGUUGUAAUAACAUGCUCGCAAUGCUUCAACGAUGCAGUCGCCAUGCUGUAAUGACAUACACCCAAUGCUCACCACGUUUCAACGAUAUCUUAUCUAUGCUUCAGUAGUAUAUUAUUCGGGCCUUGGCAAACUCUUCUCUACGCUUUAGUAGUAUCUCAUCUAUACUUCAGCUGUAUCUCACUUAUGCCUCAACACGAUAUAUCCUUCACGCUUCACAGACAUGUGCUCCACGCUUCAAUGGCGACCUACAUUCGCUAUAUCUCAACGCGGCGUACUCACCAUGUUUCGACGGACACACUCGUCAUGCCUCAACGACAUAUACAACGUACUUGCCCUGCCUUAGUGCCAUAUACUCACCCAUACUUUAGCUUCACUCUUACAUCCUGGCAGGCACUCUCUUAACUCCCCGCUCGUGCCCUAACGGCACUCGGGACUAUACUCUUACAACCCUACCCCUUUGGGACUCUACCAAUUCUCCAAUGAUCGCAAUGUAUUCUCUGAUGAUCUUAAUGAAUCCUCCAAUGAUCACCAUGUAUUCUCUAAUGCUAUUCUCCAAUCAUCGUCAUGUAUUCACCCACAAUUGCCUUGUAUUCUGUCACUGUCUUUGAUAGUUUUCAAUGAAAUUGGCUCGAUAUCGCCAUUUCUUAUCUCUCCAAUGUGAUCAAUGUGAAAUGCUCCAAUGCGAUCACAAUGCAAUGCUUCAAUGCGAUUACAAUGUGAAAAGCUCCAAUGCGAUUAAUGUGAAAUGUGAUCACAAUGCUUCAAUGCGAUCACAAUGCAAUGCUUCAAUGCAAUCACAAUGCGAAAUGCUCCAAUGUGAUCAAUGUGAAAUGCUUCAACGCGAUUAAUGCGAAAUGGUCCAACACGAUCAAUGCGAAAUGCUCCAAUGCGAUCAAGGAGAAAUGCCUAAAUGAAACGCGAGAAAGGCGAAAUGCCUAAGUGAAAUGCGAUCAAGGUGAAAUGCCUAAAUGAAAGGCGAUCAAUGAAAUGCAAGCAAGGCGAAAUGCCCAGAUGAAAUGCGAUUAAGGUGAAAUACCUCAAUGCGAUCAAAACGAGGUGGCUAAAUGAAAUACGAUCAAGCUAAGCACAUGAUCGAGAUGAAAUAGUUACAAGUAUGCUUGUGGUGACAUAGCCUAGUACUAUCAUUGACAACACCUAAUAUCUCCACAACCAUGAUCACGACACGCUCUCCUUUAUACGAGAUAUCAUUAUAUGUCAUUAUCUGAUAUUGGCAUGAGGCAUCUUUUUCUAACAUGCGGUAUCGCCAUGUUUUCUCUCUAUUGUAUGACAUUGCCAUGUUUUAUCUCCAUUACUUCAUAUUGCCAUAUUUUAUUUGUCCAUUACACGAUGGGAUAUUGCCAUGUCUUCUCUCCAUCAUACAAUAUCGUCAUAUCUUAUCCUUAUCCAUUCUAUGAUUGCAUGACACUACAUGCAAAACAAAAGGUUGUGCCAAACUUAAUAAUAGCGAUAUCGCCAAGUACAUUCUAGUCACUAUCAACUACAUCAUUCCAGCCACUAUCGGCUACAUCAUUAUAGCCACUAUCGGCUACAUUCAUUACAGCAAUUAUCGGCUUCACACCAAAAUCAUUACUAUCGCCACAUGCAAAAAUGGGCUAACAUAGCCAAGGCUAUCCUUGCAGACACCAAGUGUAUCAAGUACACCUUAUAUCGGGCAUACCUAAUGCCAUAUGCUAGUAGACCCUGGUCUAAACUCUCUGACCUCGGUCUCAGGGGACUCGGGGACUAGUCACCCUAAGGAAGCCAUUCUCGCCAAAUGUCCAAUGAAUGCUUGUGCCGUUUUUUACUUGGAAAAUGAAGUCACCACCCCAGUCAAGACUCCCCUUAGCUGGGGACUUAGGGGACUAGGGGUAAUGGUUGUAUGGAAACCAUAUGGCAAAGAUACUCACCUUGCACUUCCGAUACUUUUACCAUGGACAAACUCCCCACCCAAGAGAACUCUUGACCGGGGACUUGGGGGACUUGUUGGUAUAGAUACCUCUCACACACAAGUAUCGAAAGUGCAAGGCUCACUAGCCACUUAAAGCAAUGUCGAUAACACCCAAAGACGAUGCCGAUACCAUACACUUGAGGUAUCGGGUAGGCCGCACCAAGUCCCACAUUGUAAAUAAAGGGGUGACAAGCCCAUUCCCACACUAUAAAUACUUGUCUCUCCACUCAUUCAAGGUAAGCCACCACUCUCCAUUUACUCCUACCUAGUCUACAUUCUUACAUGUAACUGACUUAGGCCUCGGAGAGUCGAAGGCCGGCUAGCCUGGUCUUUCCUCUGACCUCUGUUCAUGGUUGGCAAGUAUGGAUCUCGGAAGUAGAAGCUCUCAUGACAACCCCGUUUCUACCACAGAAACAUGGAUGAUCAAGAAGGGGUUUAACAAAGAGGAGGUGGGGCACCAAGGAAAAGUGAUCAGCAGGUCUGUGUGGGAAAUGGAACAAAGGUAGCAGUUAAGGCUAGUGCAUGGAACUCUGAAGCUCGACUUAGGAUUAGGCAAAUUUAUUUUUCUGGACAAUGUUUAUUAUAUUUCUUCUUUAAAAAGGAAUCUUAUUUCAGUAGGUCUUUUAGUUAGUGUUGGAUGCAAACUCAUUAUUGAUUUUAGUGGAAUAAAAUUAUA